rnacentral:sRNA from 1 species
UCUCGGUUCUCGGUUCUCAAUGCACCGGUCAAGAGUCAGCAGGCGGGUGGCAAACAGACGCACAUUUGGCAUUUUUAUUAGCAGUUGGUGGUGCUUGCGUGCUACGUACGGGUUAUUGGCUAGCUCGAUCUGAAAGCGAGAAGAAAGCUAAGAAGAAUGGCUUUCGGGCUUUGAGAUAAACGCAAGAUGCGGGCGUUGUUCUGCUCUUUUCCUGUAACUUAUCCUUGUUAUGAUACGAGAGGCAAUGCCGCUGCGGUCCGGUUUGCGACCUUUUAUCCUUCCGGAGGGCUUCGGGCCCCGUCGUUGUUUGUUUGUUGUACUGUUAAUAAAGCGCUGAUGUAAUAGUCGGUUACAGGCUCACGGCGGAGUGUACUUCUGGUCGUAGCAACAUGUAAUAAUACCGAUUGAUACAUUGUUUGCAUAGGGGAUGAGAAUCUAUAGAGCUCCAUAUUCUGCCUGUUAUCGUCAUACUAUCAUGUCUUCUGUCUUCUAUUGAGAGAGGAAUAAAGAAUCGCCGGACGCACUUGGAGAAAAAGCGGGGGGUCCACAGCCCAAAGGGUUGUACAUGUCACAUUACGACCCAAGCUGGCAACAGGAUUAUAACAGUGAGGAGACCAGGGACGAAAGAUAAAGAUAAGAUAAAAGGGGCGGGGGAGGGGGUAUAGGGAAUGAGAAGGAGGAGGUAGGACGUAAUUAACUAACCUGAAAGGAAGACAGAAGACAGACAAUUCUUAUAGAAAUAUUACCUGGAUCUGUUGAUUGAUUCAUUUUCGGCGCGGGCAUUUACUCCAUAUAUCUCGGAAAGAUAAUCAAUACGGAUUCCAUAUACGAUGUACGACGACGAUCAUCAUCAGCGUGCAUUGUAGUGCAAUUCUAUCUUCUGCUGUCCUUAGUAGGCGUUUGGUUAAAGGGUUCCGGGGUGAUCCACUUACAGCACAGUACGUUAUUAUCGGAGCCAAUUCUCGGCUAUAGACAACAGAAACUCGUCAUGAAUCGUGAACUGCCUGGAGGUGGAACGCUACUAAGGGUAGAGACCGGCAGGCGGCACUGCAAAAAGGCAACCAAUAAAGAACGAAGGGCACUAUUUGUAUUAGGCUAUAUGCUUUACGGGUUUUACUCAUCUAUCAAAAGACAGCCCAGGCCCAAAAAGAGCUACACACCAAGUAGUAUCAUCAAUCGGCAUCUGACCAUUAACGCCUUCCACCACCCUAGUGAUGGUGAUCUACAAGAGUUUGUGUGAAAUGCAGAAGAAUCAGUCCUCGCAACAUCGUUAAUCUGGGUUCCUACUUCCCAAGCACGACACUGAUCAUGUUAUACAUCACUCAUGAAAAGUCAGCAGGGGCGGAACCCUCUUUCCGCGAUAUUCUGAUUUCUGCUCGGCAAAUAGUAAUAAUAGAAGAAGAACUUACUAGUUGAGUCUUACAUACGUAAUACGUUGGUGCUUUAU